GAGUUUGAUCUUGGCUCAGAGCGAACGCUGGCGGCAUGCUUAACACAUGCAAGUCGCACGGUCAGCAAUGGCAGUGGCGGACGGGUGAGUAACACGUAGGAAUCUAUCUCUGGGUGGGGGACAACAGUGGGAAACUACUGCUAAUACCGCAUGAUACCUGAGGGUCAAAGGCGUAAGUCGCCUGGAGAGGAGCCUGCGUCUGAUUAGCUUGUUGGUGGGGUAAAGGCCUACCAAGGCUACGAUCAGUAGCUGGUCUGAGAGGAUGAUCAGCCACAUUGGGACUGAGACACGGCCCAAACUCCUACGGGAGGCAGCAGUGGGGAAUAUUGGACAAUGGGCGAAAGCCUGAUCCAGCAAUGCCGCGUGUGUGAAGAAGGUCUUCGGAUUGUAAAGCACUUUUGGCAGGGACGAUGAUGACGGUACCUGCAGAAUAAGCCCGGCUAACUUCGUGCCAGCCGCCGCGGUAAU
rnacentral:rRNA from 1 species